UGAGUUUGCUUGAUUAUUAUGCAUAAUCGUUCAUGUCUCACAUUUUUUUCUUCUAGAAAUCAUUUGACACAGUAGGUCGAAUUGUUAUUUAAAUUUGAAAAAGAACCCUUCUUGUUUAUUGUGGUAACAUAGUAUCAUAUUAUGAGGAGUACUGAUCUAUAUGGAAACUGUUAUGUUUUUUUCCUUUCGCGGAAUACGAGAGGUAUUUUCUCUCUUCCGCAUAGUUAAAUAGGAGUUUCGACUACAUGAGUAUUUUCACCAAAAUUUAUAUUUUUUUUAGAAACAAACUUGUUUGCUUACUACCAGUACAACACAAAACACUUGAGUCUAUCGAUGAACAAAGCAAGAGUGGGUAGAAAUUGUUGUUUAAUAUAUGUUCUCAUUAUAAGAGUUACAACGAUUGAGUUAGGAGUUCUAUUAUCUGGUUAUUAGUAUCCAUUUUCCUUUCAAUGUCAUCUAAGGUGCUUUGGAUACCAUUGAUCUAAAUCAAAUUAUGUUUCUGUAUUCUUGCUUGUUUUUAAGGUUAAGGAUUCACUGAUUUAGAAAGGAAAAAAAGGGCCAUGGAUCACACGUUCCUAUUAACCAAUCUUGUUGUGAUUACUAAUAUCACCAAAGAAAGUCUUCUUGGGGUAAAGGAAGCCUUCAAUUUGAAGCAUCCAUUAAUUUUCGUUUUAUUUCUAGAUACCUGAUUGAAGUUAGUCAAGCUAGUCGGAUCAUUGUUUUUUUUUUUUGCUCGGCUGUAGGAUCAUGGAAUUAGGAAUUAGAAAUGAGAAACUUGAUUUUAGAAUUACCUUUGGGUGAAAUUCCAUUGCUGUUCCAAUAAAUUCUAAAUUGCCUUGAAUUAAAAAAUGUGUCAAAGGCUUUAGUGGAUUAGGUGGCUGGUAUGCUUGAAAGAAAUUGUUCCUUGGAGGUAAUGGAGAGGGAUUGAGUAGUAGCAAAGAGGAAAGGAAGGAGCAAUAGAAAGUGUAGUGGGAUUUAGCAGGCUUGUCUCUCUUAGUCUCUGUUAUGUAAAUAUUAAUCCUCAAAUGGUUGGAUGAUUCAUCUCUCAUUGCCCCUUGCUAGGAUGGUGAUCGUUGACAUACUACAGCCAAUUCAACUCCCUUGAAAUCAAUGCCCCUAAUCUCAAGGCUCUCAACUUUUGUGGCGUUUUCAAAACAAUUUCUUUCAAACAUAUAUAUCCCACUUCUUUCAUAAAUUUAAAUUAACUUGCUUUCCGAUGAAUAUGUUAACCAAAAGUUUCCGUUUGACCAAAAAAAAAGAAUAUGUUAAGCUGCCUGAGGAAGAAACAGAAACCGAAUGGGUGAAGUUUUUCCAGUGUUCACUUGCUGAUAUUGAGGACAUGCGAGUAGCUCCUUUUUGGAGGUAAGAAAGCUUCUAUUCCCAUAAAUCCACUUGCUUAGUAGACUGUGUUUUUAUUAUCUUUUCCAUAUUUGCUUCAAGUCAUUCGGCGCAGGUCAUGUUCUAGAAAGAAUUCCAAGUACCUUUAAACCAUCUGAAAUUUUUGGUUCUAUCUGAUAUCUGUUAUUUUACUCUUGAUUACGUCUCACGUGCUCUUUUCUUGCCGUACUAAGAAGGGAAGGACAAAAGCGAAUCGGUAUGCUAAUUCCUCAUCCUCAAAUCAAUCCUUCCCCUGGGUUAUUUUCUCAACGAAAAUGAAUAAGUAAUUUAGUUAUAAGAGUGAAAUCUUUAUAGAAUUCAAAGUUCUUAGUUAACAUGAAGAGUGAGGAAAUAAUUCCAUCAUCAUUCAUUGGUUGAUCGUAUCAUUAAUAUGUCUUCUUUUUGGUGCGAGGAACUUCUCAUGAAUCCAUUGAUUUGCGGGCCAAGCUGUCGAAGGGAUCACGAGGCAGCUCGAGGCGGAGGGAAAAAUACGAGGUAUUCCCCAAUGCGACUUUGGCUAUUAACGUUCUUGCUUUUUCGGAAGUGCAUGGUUGUUCGGAUGUCUCUUUGAAUAAACAUCGCAAAGUGCAAGUGAAAAAUGUGUCUUUGGCACAAAGCCUGAAUUGGAGUUUAUUAAGCUUUUGUUAGUCAAGUCAUUGAUGCUGGAGACAAUGCUUAUCGAGCUGAACUCAUAGGAUGUUACACAUGAAUUGUGGAUUGUGAAAGAAUUGACUAGAUUUCAACGUGCAUCACCUCAAGGACAAAUGAAAUUCGUACUUCAAGAUGAAGAAACAGAUGCAUUUAUGUCCUUUUUGACCAGGUGGAUGACUUGGAGGAGGUCAGUGAAUAUUAUUGAUGCUUGAACAUUCCUAAAUUGAUUCAAGCUGGGUGUCCUAUAUGCUAGAUACCGCUAUGAGAAUUUUAUGGAGCAUAUCAAACUGUUUUCAACUCGUCUAAACAUUCCUAAGCUGAUUCGAGCUUGCGAUGAACAACACUGAGGCUCCGUAUGUUUCGAUGUAAAAUAUUUUACAUGUAAAAUGUCUUUUUAGAAAACAAAAUUUGAACUUUUAUUGUCCGGUGUUUGGUUGGUACAUGAAAAUAUGUUUCAAAACAAUGGCUUUCCCUUAGAGUGAGUACUUGAUAUUUAGAGAGAGAGAGAGAGAGAGAGAGAGAGAGAGAGCGAGAGAGAGAGAGAGAUGGUCGUGGAAUCACUGGAAUGGGAGAAUGACAGCCUGGACACCCAUUGGAAAACAACUUACCAGGUUUUCCAUGGUAAAUCAUUUCCAUGAUAAAUCAUUUUAAUGCCUAAGGGUGUAAAAGAUUUUCCCCGACAGUCAUUUUCCGGCAAUUUCAACAACCAAAUACCGGAAAAUAUGUAAAAUAUUUUACGUUCAAACAAACGGAGCCUGAAGGUAACUCACAUAUUUUUAUAUUGAGUAAGACAAGUUUGAUAAUACUGCCACGACCUUCAUGAAUCAUUCUCCAGAAGCAUGGGACAACAUGCAGUUCAAAGAUGUUGCAGUCAAAGUUGCGAACGUUGAACUGGAAGAGCAUCCUGAUCUUAUAAAUGAUAUGCUUAACGUGCUUGCACUUCGCGUGACCAUACACGUUUGGUUGGAAUAAUGCGAAAGGUUUGUAAUUCUCUUAGAAAAUGUUUCUAUUUAUAUCACCAUGGCUCAAAAUGUCAUUUCCAUAUGUUGUUUCGGUUAUCUGGACAAUGAGAAAUUGUGUACGUUUUACGGAUUUUGGGAGACAGCUGGAAAAUAAUAAUAAUAAUGCUUGAAAA